GAAGACUCGGAGGGUGACGGGAUCCCGGAGAGGGACCCUGCGCGCGGAGGAAAGGGGGCAGAGUAUCCGAGAGUGGUGUUGCGAGAGUCUCGCCGUUGACCGGGAGCUGUGGCGGUUGUUUCGCGUUCCUGGCUCAGGUUCUGCGCGCUUCGCCGCUUUGGAGCCGCUCCUCUAGAGCUGGGCCUCCGCCGCCUGCUGCCGACGUGGGCUUGAAGGGCACCUCCGCACUUAAGCCUUGAUAUAGGAGGAAGCACAAGGAAGCCGUCUCUCUACCUAGACAACAGUUGUACUGGCAGAAACUGAAGUAACUAUUUUGGAACUCUGGAGUCUAUUUGAAUUCUUGCGUCUUCCAGGAGAAAGUCUGGUUGGUAAAUUGAGGUUAGUUUCAGUCAGUGUCAGCCUCUAGAAUGAUAACACCCCCCUGUUUCCUACCCUUCAGCCCUGUGGCCAGCAGCCAUAUUUACAUCCCAGUGUGGCUUGCUGGAGCUGUGGUGGGAAAUAAGAAUCUUGUUCACCAAAUACCUGGGUUCUGUAUUUUGAUUGCUUAUUGCUCCUUUUGAGUUCUGAGAUUCAGGCGCAGAGUGGUUGCCUGUGUUUCAACCUCCAUAGGCUGAGCUGGUUUCUAUGGGAUUUGAAGGAACAGCUCCUGUUCUGUGUGUUUGUUUUCCCUUUUACCCCAUUUGGGAAUCAGACAUUUAAGGAUUAGGACAUUCAGAAGCAACCACUUACAUAGGGAAAAUUAGAAAGCCAAUAUGUAUAACCAGGAAAAGAUGAAGACUCAGAAAAGAACUGAGAUGUUGACCUUUCACCUUAGGCUGAUCCUGAUCCCUGGUACAGAGAUAUCCUUCAACAAUAAAAACAAACAAACAAAAAAACAAAACCAACAACCCCUAGGAUGGGGGAGAAUCUUAUUUCCACAGUUACCACAUUAUAAGAUUCAAAUGUCCAUUUUUUGGCAAAAAA